rnacentral:lncRNA from 1 species
AGGAAGGGCUUAGAGACUACAAGACCAUCCAUAAAACACAUAAAUGAGACUAAAAGCUCUCUCAGUCGUAGUUCAUCUCCUUCUAGGAAAGGUUAUGACACUUCUAGCCAAUCAGUACUGCGCUUUACUGAGACAAGUCGCCCAAUACACUGCCAAGGCCUUGACAGUCGUAGCCCCUCCCCCUCUAGAAAGGGCUCUGACACACUUCGCCAAUCCGUUCAACGGAAAUCUGAGACUGACAGAUCUAGAAGUAUAUCUGGCUGUAACAGUAGGAGUUCUUCUCCUUCUAAAAGAGGCAUUGACCCAUCUAGUCAGUCAGCACUGAGGAAGACAGUGAGUUACGAUUCUAGAACUAGUGUCACCACUUCACAAUUGAAAAAAUCAGUGAAUAGUCAUGGUAGAUCAGAUUCAAAUCCUCCUCCUAGUUCCUGGAGAGGCUCUUCUCGUUCGCUCAGUAGUCCGCCAAUCUCCCGUAGCCCCUCCCCUUCAAGAAAGAUCUCAGAAAACAGGCCACUUGAACGUUCUCAGAGGCCAUCAUCUGCUGUCUUAGGAAAUGGCAGAAAUGGGAACAGAAGCAUUAGUAGCAGCAGCAGCAGGCAUAUCAUGGAACAUCGUAGCCUCUCUCCAGAGGCAAGGAAGUCAUCAGGCCAAAACCGAAGCCAGUCCCCUCAGUUGCGCAGGCUCACCUCCUCCCAAAGUUCCAUGGAUUCCACUGAGUCUAGUCACCUUUCCGGGGGAUCCACUGGAUUCAACAAGGAAGAGUACGCCAUGUUGGCCGACCUCCCGAAGGUCAAGACAAUAUUUCACAAAGAGGGGCCAAACCGUCUUGGGAAACUUGAAAGCCACCCUUCAGGAGAGGAGAGACUGUACAAACCAGCAAGGUAACUGCCCAUAAGAUGGACAAGUGUUUAAAAAACUUAAAAACUGAAUGUAUAAAGUGGCUUAGGUAUAAGAAGUGUUAACAAUGGUACCUUGAUGUAAAUGUUUUUUAUUUCAAAGAUGUAAGUCAUUCCGUUAUGUGUUGUAGCCACUCCCAUAUAAAAAACUCCUACAACAAUUUGGACAGUGGGGGAGACCAAAACGAUGGAAGACUGACUCGGACACACUCCUCCACCUCUCUUCAUGUUCAGGUGUGGUGUGUAUGAUUUGUAGACACUUAUACAGAGCUUGCGGUC